GGUUCCAUAGUGUAGCGGUUAGCACAUCUGCUUUAUAUGCAGAAGGCCCUGGAUUCGUGCCCUAGUGGAGCCA
rnacentral:tRNA from 1 species